UACGGGGGGAGCAAGCGUUGUUCGGAUUUACUGGGCGUAAAGGGCGCGUAGGCGGCGCAACAAGUCACUUGUGAAAUCUCCGGGCUUAACUCGGAACGGUCAGAUGAUACUGCUUUGCUCGAGUGCGGAAGGGGCAAUCGGAAUUCUUGGUGUAGCGGUGAAAUGCGUAGAUAUCAAGAGGAACACCUGAGGUGAAGACGGGUUGCUGGGCCGACACUGACGCUGAAGCGCGAAAGCCAGGGGAGCAAACGGG
rnacentral:rRNA from 1 species